ensembl:snRNA U6 U6 spliceosomal RNA
AGGCUCACUUCGGCAGCAUGUAUACUAAAACUGGAAUGAGGCAGAGAUUAGUAUGGACCCUGCAUAAGGAUGAUACUCAAAUUCGUGAAGAGUUCCAGGAUUCU